UGGGGGACCAUAUUUUGAGGGUUGCUGUCUAGAUUUAUCUGGAAGUUCAUGGAUGGGACCUUCAUAAUAUGAUGCAGAUACUGUCUUACUUACUGUAACUUGGUGUUUGGCUUGUGGUCAAAGUGAUUAUACUGAAGAUAUGUGUGCUGUCAUGAUUCAAUCAAAUAAAUUGAUGAAAUAAAUUAUAGAUAAUCAAGGACAGUUGUGGGCAGAGCUAAAGGAUUUACCACUCCCCCCAUGUUUACAGUGGCUAAACAAAGAAGAAUAUGAGG
rnacentral:lncRNA from 1 species